UAAACCUCUUCCAGAGUAUCAAUUGGAGGGCAAGUCUGGUGCCAGCAGCCGCGGUAAUUCCAGCUCCAAUAGCGUAUAUUAAAAUUGUUGCAGUUAAAAAGCUCGUAGUUGAAUUUCUGCUGCAUUGCUUGUGUCCCUCUGGGGUCUGUGCAUGUGGCUUUUUUCGGACGGAGUUUCUUUGUCUGAAUGUUUACUUUGAGAAAAUUAGAGUGCUCAAAGCAGGCUUUCGCCUUGAAUAGUUUAGCAUGGAAUAAUAAAGUAGGACUUUGGUUCUAUUUUGUUGGUUUUAGGUACCAAAGUAAUGGUUAAUAGGAACAGUUGGGGGCAUUCGUAUUUAACUGUCAGAGGUGAAAUUCUUAGAU
rnacentral:rRNA from 1 species